UUCUUAUAGGAAGAAUUAUAAGUAACACCUGCUCAAUGAAAAUAAAUAGCUGCGGGAGACUGUACUAAGGUAGCAUAAUCAUUAGUUUAUUAAUUGUAAACUGGAAUGAAGGGUGAAAUGAAUAAGGAUAGGUAUUUUUUCAAUAAGUUGAAAUUAAAUUUUUAGUAAAAAUGCUAAAAUUAUUUUUAGGGACGAGAAGACCCUAUAAAGCUUAAAGAUUUUCUUUUAUUUGAUAAAAUGAAAAUUUUUUUGUUGGGGAAAUAGAGUAAGAUAAAAUUUUACUUUUAGAUCCAAAAGUUUUGAUAAUAAGAAGAAGUUACUUUAGGGAUAACAGCAUAAUAAGAGAAAUAGAGCACAAAUCUGUUUUUUUGAUUAUGACCUCGAUGUUGGAUUAAUAGASUCCUUUAGGAGAAGCCACUUAAGGGGAUAGUCUGUUCGACUAUUAAAA
rnacentral:rRNA from 1 species